rnacentral:rRNA from 1 species
CGUACUCAGAGUGAAUCAUCGAAUCUUUGAACGCACAUUGCACUGUCUAGACUAUUCUGGGCAGUAUACCUGUUUGAGUAUCAGUUCCCUCUCACUAGCACAUGCUCAGGCAUAUGCUGGUGGACUUGGGCCGUGGCAUCAUUCGAAAGAGAGAUGCCUGGCCUGGAAUUGAGUAGGUAUGCUAUUGCUGCACCGACAGAGCUAGUCUCUAGUUUUACUAGAGUUAUCUGUCUGGGCACCCUGGUACCCACCUAUCACCCACUAACUAGAGGCUCCUCACAGAGCCUUUGAUUAUUGAUCUCAAAUCAGGCAAGAUUACCCGCUGAACUUAAGCAUAUCAAUAAGCGGAGG